rnacentral:lncRNA from 1 species
CUCCGCAGCACGCUGAGUUCACUCGACAUGGGUGCACGGUGAUAUCACUGGAAAUGAUCAGAUGGAACCCAACCUUCAUCUGCGGUCACUGAACCUAACCAUAGCGCCAAAGAUUAUGCUGCUGGUUUGCAAAUCUAGGACAACGUGAUCUCGAGGAACAAUAAAUCAGCUUUUUUUUAUCCAUGGUGUUUGCAAGUUGUAAAGAGAUGGAUGGUAUCGGGAACACAAUGCAGAAGAAGGCUGCGGAGCUCGAGCGCAUGGCCGAGGUUCUGGUCACCGGAGAGCAGCUGAGGUAGGAGUGGCUGGCUCGAGCUGACAGCUCUGUGUGAUGCUGUUCAAACUGUGUUGCGGCUUUUCAAACAAAGGCGUGAAUUGUAC